rnacentral:misc_RNA from 1 species
AAGUCGUAACAAGGUUUCCGUAGGUGAACCUGCGGAAGGAUCAUUAACAUAAUUGUAUAGUGGAGUCAUGCAAAUGAUUCUGCUAUAUUCAUUAUAAAAACCAAAAUUUACCAAUCCGUGAACUAUAAAAAAACAUGAAGGCUGAUUUAUUAAAUUAAUGAAUGUAAAAGGUUUAUUAGUCUUGAGUCAGAGUGAAUACCAAUUCCACCCAUUUUUUAACUAUAUUAACCCAUUACCGUAAUGUUGUUAACUCAGCAUACUAAAAUCUUUCUUUUUGUUGCGGAUAUUCGUAUACCAAUG